rnacentral:rRNA from 1 species
UUUUCCGCAAUGGGCGAAAGCCUGACGGAGCAAUGCCGCGUGGCGGUGGAAGGCCUACGGGUCAUGAACUUCUUUUCCCGGAGAAGAAGCAAUGACGGUAUCCGAGGAAUAAGCAUCGGCUAACUCUGUGCCAUCAGCCGCGGUAAGACAGAGGAAGCAAGCGUUAUCCGGAAUGAUUGGGCGUAAAGCGUCUGUAGGUGGCUUUUCAAGUCCGCCGUCAAAUCCCAGGGCUCAACCCUGGACAGGCGGUGGAAACUACCAAGCUGGAGUACGGUAGGGGCAGAGGGAAUUUCCGGUGGAGCGGUGAAAUGCAUUGAGAUCGGAAAGAACACCAACGGUGAAAGCACUCUGCUGGGCCGACACUGACACUGAGAGACGAAAGCUAGGGGAGCGAAUGG